AAUGAAUUGCCUGAUUAAAGGAUUACUUUGAUAGAGUAAAUUAUAUAAUUAAAUAUUAUAUUCAUUA
rnacentral:tRNA from 1 species